CUGUUCUCGUUAGAUCACCGAAGUCAAGCAUCAUUGGGCGCGGUCAGUACUUGGGCGGGUGUCCACCUGGGAACACCGCGUGCCGUU